CUGACCUUCAGGCUGUCGUUAUAUAGGCUUAUUCCUGAAUUUGCUGAGAAUUUUCUCUGAGUAAGGACAAAAUAUGGAUUUUAAGACUCACCCCAAGAUAGCUCUCACCCAGCACUCAUUAAUAUGAGCAGACCACUGUUCCGCGUGGUUGAAUGAUGGAAUUAAUUUAGGAUUUUUUUAAAAGCCAGCUUUUGGACUUCUGCCUUGUUUCUAAUUUUUAAAUAUUUACAACUUGAUUCACAGAAGUUUAGGGUUGGAAGGGACCUUGUGAGAUCAUCAGGUCCAGUCCCUCUUCUCUGGGCAAGAAAGACUGCUGGCGUCAAAUAACCUUAGCAAGGUUAUAUCCAGUCUCCUUUUGAAGAUCUCCAGGGAACUGGUCUGAUGCCAUCAAACUCUUUCACAAGGCUCCAGAAGUGGAUUUCCAGCAAUCGCUGUGCUUCAUUGAAGUGUUGGAGAAAAUAUAAAAGCCCUAGCAAAGAAAACACUGUAUCCUUUGUUCAAAUUAAAACCUUUGCAUGUCAAAAGAUGUAAAACUGGCCCUAUUGCUUUCAGAUGUUAACACAUGUUUUGAUGGUUAAUGCUGCAUUACAAUGGGAUUUCUAUAAACAUAUGACAGCCACAUCAACACCAAAUGAAUACAUUACGGUUCAGGUUUUUAUUACAGUGAAUACUAAAAAAUGCUUGAGAUGAAAACAAAUGCUCUUUUGCAAAAUUCCGUAAAACUGGAGUGACCCUUGUGGUGCUGAAUGACAAAGGAAACAUCACAAAUAUUGCUAUUCUGUCUUCUAACAGUAUGUUUCAAUACUCAAAAAAGAAAAGAGCUCUGAACAGGCUUUCAGAACAAAUAUCAAUAAACCAAGAAGAUCCAGGAAUUGGAAGAACAAAAGCCACCACACAGACUACUGGAUCUAAGUAUAUGUUCAACUUUAAACCGAAGUAUGUUCCCAGAUCCUACUGAUAUUUAUGUGUCUAUUAAGAGCUUCAUCCAGAUUGCAAUUAUAAUGGCCAGACCAGCUCAUUUUGAAGCAACACAUCCAGUGGUUUGGCCCUUUAAAAUAUUUCUUUAGCAGCUGUCUUCUUUCCCUUGACUAGCUGUUUUGUCCAAAGUGCUAUGAGAAUGAUUGGCUUGCGUUCAUCUGGUUACAUCACCUGGGUUGUCAAGAAGUCUGCUGAAUGGAGCCCUCUGGUCUGGUUGAUAUCAUGGGAUGACACAAGGAAGAAAAUGUAUUGGAAAACGAAUUACAGUUCAACCCCAUAUGUCUAAUUUCUACAAACUACUUCUCCUUUGUUUUUACCCAUAUAUCACAAUUAUAUUUUAAAGAAUAUUUUAAUUUUAUUAUAUUUUAAAGAAAGUUUACUUAUCCACAUUAUGUACCUAUACAUAUAAAUACUUUUUAAAUAAAUGUAUUUUUUGUGAGAACUACUAGAAUGAUA